GGAAAUUCUUCAUCACGUGACCUUGCCUGAUGCCCUUCUAGAGCAUUCCACUUGGAAUAAGAAUUCAUCCCUCUAUUUCCUUUUUUUUUCAAAGUGCCUUCAUGCAUGUCAGAUUACAGCUGGCCUUGAAGAAGGUGGAGCAGACCAGCCUUUAUCUUCACAUGGAAGAUGAAAUAAUGAAGGUUCUGAGAGGUGCAGUGAUUUCCCAAGGCCACACAGCUAUUAGUGGCAAAGACAGGACCAGUGCCUAGAUCUGACUUUCAUCUCUCACCUGUCUGAAAUUCCAUAGCCCACGAUCACUUAGGAAUUUUCAUCUCCUUUGGAACUGUCUUUCAUUAGAUCCGUACUGGGAGUCCCUGAGUCCAACACUAGCCCUUCAACCUGAUGACAGCCAGAGAUUAGAGCCAAAGGUGGCUGUCACAGAGGUGACAGUUCUCUUUCCCUGCCCCUCCACCAUAGGAAACCAAGCUUGGCAAAUCUUGACUUCUCUGUAGUGCCGUUUAGGUUACCAAAUCUCUGCACAUUCUACUUCUGAGGAUCUGAGAGGAUGUCUUAGCUCAGGCUGCUAUAACAAAAUACCACGGCCAAGGUGGCUUAUAAACAACAGCCAUUAAUCUCUCUCAAUUCUGGAGGCUGGGAAGUCCAAGAUCAAGGUGCUGGCAAAUUUGGCUCCUGGUUGAGGACCCAGUCCUGGCUUGCAGACAGCUGGAUGCCUUGCUGGGGCCUUCCAUGGUAGCAAGAGAAAGCUCUGGUCUGUCUGCUUCUUUGGGCACUAAUCCCAUGAUGGGGUCUCCACCCUCAGGACCUCGUCUCAACCUAAUUACCCCCCGAAGGUCACGCCUUCUAAUACCACCACAUGAAGGCUUAGGGCUUUCGCAUAUGAAUUUGGGUGGUGGAGGACAGAUUUGGUCCCUAACAGGAGAUGUCAGCUCUUGCAUCCAUAAGCUGCAGAGUGUAGAGCCUGCGUCUCUGUGCCUAAAGGAUUUGGUGGAGUAAAUGCUGCCGUCCAAGGGACAGAAAGUGGAGCCUGAAGUGCUGAGUGCUAAUGCUGACGGCAGACAUUGAAAUAGGAGCACGGUGCCUUUAAGAAGGAUGAGGGCACAUCUCUGGGGUGGAGCCCGGCCCAGUUACCCAAGCGCUUGGAAGCUGCUAGGACCUGCCCUUGUGGAGACCAGGCCUUGCGGUUCUGGUUUGCAGUCCAGGCACCGCUCGGGGCCCCGCUCCCCUGCUUCCCGGCUGCCACACGACUCAGCGUUGGCACCAGAAGACAAGAAAAAAGAAAGACAAGAGAAGAAAAGCAGAGUAAUGGAAGGAGGAGGACUGGCCUGGGGAGGGGAGACACCUGGCUUCUCUCUCCAACUCCACCUGUAGCUUGUUCACAGCCCCUCGGUGUCGCUAAGCAGCCUCACUCUGUAAGAGGCAAACAACCCCAUCUCACCUGCUCCAGCUGACACAAGACCAAGUGAGAGGCGUGAUGAGACCUGUUCUUCCAAGGACCAGGGGGCAGAAUCAAGAUGGGUGGAAGUUACAAGGAGGCAGAUUUCAGAUCACAAUCAGGAAGACAUUUCCAUUUACCAAAGUCCUUUCUACAGAUUCCUAAUCACCCAGAAAGCCUUCUCCCCUGGGAACUAGUCGAGCAGCAGACUGGUCAUCUGGCAGUGAUCCCGCACGAGAGGGACUGAACCCUGAGCCAUAAGGCCCCUUUGAAAUGGGACAGUCUGCAUGUUGGUUUAUGUGGAAGGGCUUUGGGAAGAAUCAAUGUGAGGCUAAGCGCUCAGGGGCUCGGACUUCUGGCUACCUUGGUCACUGCAGCAGGAGGAGAAAAAGCUGGAAGGGGGGUCAAGCACCCACCCAGAAGUGAAUCCCGGCACUUCUGGCAUCUCACCGAACAGAAUUAGUCACGUGGCCCUGCCUAACCUCAAGGAGGUGCAUGCAGGAAGCAUAUGCAGAAAGGAGAGAAAAAUGGAUAGAGUCUGACAUUAUGAGACUACUCUGCAAAACCUUCACACUGAGCUUUGUCUCGAAGAUAGCCUUCGGAGCAGUAAUCAGGCCUCCAUUAACUACAGCAGGAAGGGGGACAGCUGUGGAACUAAAGGCAUGCAUCUGGGGAUCCAGGAAGCAUUGGGGAACCCACCAGCACCUGGUAAAGCUUGGGACCCGGGCCAGGUCCAGAGCUGGUGACCUGGGUGAGGUGCAUGCACAUGUAUGGAUGAACACAUAGGAUUCUGGGCAGCUCAGUGGAAGCACAGAGAACCAAAGCUGAUGGAAAAACCUAACUCUGUCUGGAGCAUUGUCAAUCUCAUGCCAGAAAGAAAAAGACGAGGCCAAUGGUGCCCUGACUUCCAGAACUCUGUACAAAAGUGACCAAUGUCACUUCUUUGACUAAAGCAAGUCGUAUGGCCAUUCCAGAGGUCAUCAGCAUGGGGAUAACCUUACAGAGAGGAGCAUGACAAAGGAAGAAACUGGAACUUUUGGUGAAUGAGAACCUGUCUCCACCACCUCUUUCUAGGAUGACUUCUUUCCCAGAGGCAUCAAAUUUUACAAUGCAGCCUGUGUGUAGGAGUGCAAAUGUUGGGGAGCAUUUACUCUACUAAUCUACUCUACUACUAAUCACCAGCAUCUGUGCAUCAACACAGGCGUUCUCUGCUCAUCGUACUCACUGUCACACAGGUAAAAACUUUUUUAUGUGACAAACUAUUCUGAGAGCAAGACAACUGCUGAUGGUGCGUGGCAAGGGAUCUAAGUGAAAUACCAUUGCAAAUAACGAGUCCUGUCGUAAUAAGAUCACGGAAGUUGCUAAGGGGUCAUUUUCAGAAUGCAUUUUACUUAGGACCUUUAUUGAUAUGAUGCUGUUGAAGAAUUCAAGGAUUUAAUAGCUCUGGGCUGAGUCCCUGGAAACAUUCAGGUUCUACUGUGUUGGGAGCUUCCUGGGUCCUGGAGAUUCUCCUGCAGCUGUUACCACCUCAGGGCUGGUCAGGGUUGAGACUUCUCCAGGUGUUUCCAUCCCACAUGCUUUGUGACAGGGAAGGCUGCCCUCUCUUGCCUUCAUCGCUUUCUGUCCCCAUCAGUCGCUCCUCAUCCCAGGGCAGUCUGAGUGCCCCUUCUCCACGCCUCCAAAAUGCCUCCUACAAAUCUAGUCUAAGAAGUUUGAAGACGCGGAGUCGGGGUAGAGGAGCACAGGAGAGUUCAGAUGAUGGCUGACAUUAUGGCCGCUGCCUUUGAGCCCACUGUGUCCAGGGGGAUGGACUUAAAACACGUAACUAGCAGACGAGUUGACAGUUGCUCAAAGAGAGGGAUGAACGGAGUAGAGUAGGAAAAGGGAGUGAUCCAGAAGUGUGUUUCCUCUCCUCUUCUCCUCUCGUCUCUCUCUCUCUCUCUCCCUGUCUCUCUCUCCCUCCCUCUCUCUCUCGCUCGCUCUCUCACUCACUCACACACACACACACACACACACACACACACAGUGAAGAUUAGAUGACAAUUUAGAACAAGAGGGGCCGUCUGGGCUGAGAAGACCAUCUGAAAGCUGCAUCAAGAAUUUUGAGAAAGCCGUGGCCAGUUGGUGGUGGCCAUUCCGGGCCAGGCACCUCCUAGCCAUGGGCUGCCCUCCAGCCAGCCCAUAGGUACCCUUCUCAUUCCUUCAGAGGGUUUCACCCCCAGAGACCAAGCCCUUGUGCCCCAGCCAGGGCCAAACGUCCUGCUCAGCCACACCAAGCUACUUGAAGCCGCAUCCCUGAACCCUGGAGGGUUCCCACCCUUCCAGGCCAAGGGGAGACCUCUCUGCUGUCCCCAGCUUUAUCUUUAAAACUGAAGCCAGGUUUGUGUUGCUGAUCAUGUAUCUGUGCUUAUUUUGAUGUAAACAUUAUGUUUUCAAUUUCAUGCCUAACCCACCCUCCCCCCUCUCACGAGGUCCCAGUGUAAAAUCCAGUACUGCUCUGUGCUUCCCGGUACUCAUUACAAGUGUAAUUAAUUCGUGUUUGCCCAGUCAUUUAGCUGCUGUCCUUCCCACAGGACCAUCAGCUCCUACAGGGCAGCCGCUGUGUCUUUCUUGCUCACCACAUUCUCACUGGCUCACCAGUGACUGUUGAGGGUGUGACUUUUAGCCUCCGGGGUUAUAAGAGCCUUCUUAUAAUAAGGCUGACAUGGAAAUUCCAGUCUCAUGCAGAUCAAGUGUCCCUGCGUCCUUUUACAAGCAGAAAUAUCUGGACAGGUGGCUCACGAAGAGGUCAUGGUUCCCCAAGGGACCAGGUGAGAGGUGCUAUCACUGCUCAGGGCCCUGUCAAUACUCUUGACGCUCCCCAUUGACCAUGAGACUAUGAUGUCACCUGCAAAUACAUACAAAAGGUGCCUAUUCUGUAAAGCUCUCUAAGGAGAAUUACUUUAAUCUCGUUCUUACUGUAUUAAGUACAUAACAUCAUAACUCACAGUUUCCCAGAUUCAGUUCAAGGGCAGAGAUGAUUUGGUAGUUAUUUGAUUUAUAGAAGUUUUCUCAAGUUGGAGAAGAAAUUGAAGCAUGUUUUGCUGAGGGUAGGAAAACAACUCCAUUUGGAAGAGGAGCUAAUAUCUCAAAAAAGUAAUUGUAAAUUAUAUCAAUUGCGCUCACCUUUGGGUCUAAUUUUCCCAUUUCCUACAAGGUUUCGGUGACAAGCCUUAUCCUUACCAUUCUUGAUAUUCACAGAGCACUCUUCAGAAGAUUUAUUGGUUAAAAAAUGCAAAUUCCUUAAAACAACCAAGUGCUGUCUCCGAGUUCCAUGCAAAGAUGUGGUUAGACAAACUAGUCAGAAUUUGAAGACAAUGCUAGAGAAAAAUAGUAAGAAAUCAGAAUUGUGGAAUAAUUACCAAAAUUGCUUGCAUUUACUGAACGGCUGUUAUAUAGCAGGUACUGGGCUGAGUUCUUUAUAUGGAUUAGCUUGUUUAAUGGCAACCAUUUGAGGUAGGGAGAAUGAUUAUUCCCAUUUCCUAGAUGAGAAAACUUAUAUGUGGAAAAUGUAUAACUUUCCCGAGAUCUUGCCUAGUGGAAAACAAAGUCUGAGCUUUGAGGCUGGUUUACAUCAUUUUCUGGUCCAGGCUCUUCCCACUGGUCAUGAAUAAGCAAUCAACAUUGGUGUUUGAGAAAGGAAGAAACUUCCAUCAUGCCAAGUACAAGUGCUAGUGAGCUUGUAUUAUUCAACCCAGGGCCUAACAGAUUUGUUUCAAUGAACAAAUACAUAAAGAUCCUUUGUAAGUGGCUCAUUUAUUGACUCUUAGGUGACUGAAAAUCUGUUGUUCCCUGAAAACGUUAAGCAUUGUCUCUCCCAUCCAAACCCAUCACAGUCUAACAAAUAACAUUUUCGUGAGUUUGGUCCGUUUCAAAAUUCCAGCAAGACACAAAUUUCUGUUUGGCCAGCCAUCAAACAGAAAGUCCUGACUAGUGCUCUUUUGAACAGCGUGUUGACACCCACAGUCUCUGUUUAACUUCUUUCUCCGAUAGCAGCAGCCCUGGGGUUUCCUUUGGUCACUGGAGUUGGUUGGAGUUCAUAGAUGUUGCAUGCUGCAUUUAUGGAGGACUCACUGCAGGCCCGUUUUGGGAUGGUAUGACCCUUGCCCUAUAGCCAUUGGUCUUCCUGUCCAACCUGGUCCACAACCAUCCUCCACUUUGGAAAACAUUUUCAAUUCCAUUCUGUUCAAUGCAACUGGGGUAGGUUGAACAGACACUAUCGGCCCAGUGUUGUGCUUCUCCAAGUCAGGGGCAGGGGACUCUAUGUAAAAUAUCAACGAUAGCUGGUAUUUAUUGACUGCUUCUGUCAAGCAUGACUUCAUUUUAUCCCUCACAGUCACCUUCCUGGUCCCAUCUUUCAGAGUGGUAGAGCCCCAGGUCACUGAGGAGGUAGGUUGAUUGUAGAUCUGACAUCACAGUCUGAGCUUUUAACCUCGACUCUUUGGUACCAUUUUUGUGAGUGCCAGGAAGGCUGAAGACAAGGGCUGGAGGAAGAAUCAAGGAAGGAGUGGAAAUUGAGCUGGAUUUAAGGAUUGCAUUGGAAAGACAAGGAUUUGCACUGGGAAAGAGGCAGAGCAGGAAAGCAGAGAGGCUCUCUUGCUUCUGUUCUCACCAUAGAGCAGUGGAGAAGGUGAAUUAGACUAUUUUGUGGUUGGCAUAACCAAUUAAGUUUAAAUGCAACACCUGUCUUGCCGUUUGAACUCAAUCUUAUUAUACCAGAUCUCUUUGCAUUUCUUUUGUUUGGGCAGAUUUUACACACAGGGGUUUUAAGUCAAUCAAAGAGCAUCUGUGCUGAAAGGAAUUAUUUUUGUGUGUGUUAAAAUAAUUGGCCCAGUUCUUCUCUCAACUAAUAAGUAAAACCUCUCUAAUUCCUGUCUUAGAGGGAAGGUAAUACAGUAUAGGGAAAAAAGCAUUCACCUAACUACACCUUUUAUUUCUAGAACAUGGUAUGAUGUCCAAGAAAAUGAAUUUACACAGUCUGGAGGAAGAGGUGAGAUCAGCAUACCUAUCCUGAACUUAGCAUAGACACCGUGUCCUUGACAGCCAUGCUUAAUUUGCAUGAUAAGUGAGCAAGGUAUGCUAAUAACAGAGAGGGAACAUACUGAGAAACAGAUUUGAACUUAAGUAUCCUGCACAUGACAUCAGAAUAUACCACUGCCCUCUUCUUCUGCUUUGUACCAUACCACCAUAAAAGUGCCUCAGAUAAAAUAUUCUUUUUGAAAUAUCUGGACUUUGUUUCCAAGUCAUUUAAUUUUCCCCUGGGUGUUGACUCUGUGUCCUUGUUUUCAAAUCAUCUAUCACUUUCACAGUUUCAAUCUUCUUGUCUUUUUUGCAGAAAGUAAUUUUUCCAAAGACAUAUUUCAAUGCAUAUAAGGGAGAAAUUACCUGACUUUUAUUUAGUGCCUCCAAAAGAGCUUAAUUCUGUUUCAGAGAACACCAGAGUCAGGUGACUUCCUUCUCUAUAUCUGGGCAAUCCAAAUCUGUCCCUUUAUGGAAAUAAGCACCAUCGGUGGCAGCCAUGUGGUAUGUAUGGGACCAAGCCUACCUUCAGCUCCAGCAGAUAGCCCUGAUUGGUCUAGACCCAUGGCAAUCCAAUUGUGGUGGCCACAGAAUUUGAUGUUGGGAUGAGCCAAUCAGCACGAAGUUCACUGUGGGAGACAACCUCUCCUGUUUCAUGGGAGUAAGGCAGGAUGGGGACCUCACUGCAGCCAGGCCUCCUGCAAUCACCAGGGAGUUAGCCCUAGAAGGCAACCAACAGUAGGUGUGAAAGAGAGGGAAGGGAAAAAGAAACUGAGUCCUCAUGUCAUUGUAGCAAUCAGUGACAUUCACUGUACCUCUGGACUCCCAGUUAGCCAAUAAAUCCCUCCUUGUUUAUGAGUUUUAAUUCAGUUUUCUGUUACUUGCAGCCAAAAGCAUUUUAUCCGAUACACCCAAUGACUAGGCAGUUGAACUACAACAUAAUUCCACUUCUCAGAAUGCAACCUAUGCAUUCCAACUAACAAUAGCAAUAGCAUAUUGGGUAAUUAAGUUGCAUCCGUUGAUGGUACAUGAGCUAGGACAGUUUAUGGUACAAACCGUGGCCUCUCAGAAAUGGUACAAACCUUUUCCUCUCUCCUUCGGUUAAAACCCAGUCAUGUGGCCACAUCUAACUGCAAAGGAGCCCAGGAAGAAAAAGUGGAUUUUUGGUAACCGAUUUGUAGUCUUGCCCAGGAAGAAUAUUCUAGAAGAUUAUUACAUUACAUGGGGAAAAAGCUCAAGAACAGUGUGCAUAAUAUCAGCCCAAGUUUCCAAAUGCCAAUAUCUGUAAGGGCAGAAGCCACGGCUUCUUCUGUUUCCACAUUUGUUCUUUGUUCCUCUGCAGCCAUGUUCUACCUCUGGCACGUUCAUGGUGACCCCAUUUGCAAAUACACUCCACCGCUCUCUGGUGAGCAAUACAGAUUUUAUUGAGGAUCUUGUAUUAGAAACAGACAUGUAAUCAAAUCCCUCUAUGGGCAUCUGUUCUUUCCUCCAAAAUUCUCAUCCCUUGUCAGUGGUCUGUCCUCACUGUCACUCUUCUCUGGCCACAUGCUUCCCUUCCACAGUCACCAGCCCUUGAAAGUCUCCUGACUGCCUGAGCAAUUUGCCCCCUGCCCUUUGUUAUAUGUCCUCUCUGCAAAACAAAAACCUGGUAAUAAACUCAAAACCAAGGAUAUAUUUUUUCCUCCAGCGUACUCCUCAAGGAACUUAGCGAACAACUCACUGAACAGAAAAAGCCGCCUUCUUGGGGUGGGGAGCUGUUAAGUAAGAAAAUAAAUUUAGGGGGCACCUCGG